UUGAAGCAGAUAUGAAGAUGAAGAAG
rnacentral:piRNA from 1 species